rnacentral:lncRNA from 1 species
CACAACGCAAAACGGUAGUUUUGUCAUCAGUAAAGCUUCCCAGUUCCCACCAUCGAAAGAGAGAGAGAGAGAGUCGACGUCGUGACUUGUACCACGAAUAAAAUAACGAAACCUGAAAGUUGCAACCCCUACAACUUCCACAAAAAUAACUUUAAAAACAAAGAGAUUAAACUCUAACAGGAGCUGGUCUAACCGUCUAAGUAUAUCGACUUCAUAAUUGGAACAUACUCUACACACGUCACCAGACACCAAACAGAAGUGUGAGUGCCCUUGAACAGACGCCAAACCACUGGACUGCCUCCACAGAGAACCCUUGAGGAGUUGCUUCACCCUCUGGAAACUCGAACUACCACUGAGAACAC